rnacentral:rRNA from 1 species
UGGGGAAUUUUGGACAAUGGGGGCAACCCUGAUCCAGCCAUCCCGCGUGUGCGAUGAAGGCCUUCGGGUUGUAAAGCACUUUUGGCAGGGAAGAAACAGCCUGGGAUAAUACCCCGGGUGACUGACGGUACCUGCAGAAUAAGCACCGGCUAACUACGUGCCAGCAGCCGCGGUAAUACGUAGGGUGCAAGCGUUAAUCGGAAUUACUGGGCGUAAAGCGUGCGCAGGCGGUUCGGAAAGAAAGGUGUGAAAUCCCAGGGCUUAACCUUGGAACUGCACUUUUAACUACCGAGCUAGAGUACGUCAGAGGGGGGUAGAAUUCCACGUGUAGCAGUGAAAUGCGUAGAGAUGUGGAGGAAUACCGAUGGCGAAGGCAGCCCCCUGGGAUGAUACUGACGCUCAUGCACGAAAGCGUGGGGAGCAAACAGGAUUAGAUACCCUGGUAGUCCACGCCCUAAAACGAUGUCAACUAGCUGUUGGGGUUUAUUAACCUUAGUAGCGCAGCUAACGCGUGAAGUUGACCGCCUGGGGAGUACGGUCGC